CUCAAUUUGUAAUUGAAUGUGAAAUGAAAAUAAUAAUAAUCUGUUCUUAUCAGUUUAAUAUCUGAUAUGUCCCCUAUCUGGGGACCAUAUAUUAAAUUGAUUUUUGGAACAGGGAGAUGGAAUAGGGGCUUACUCCGUCCACUCCACGCACCGACCUGGUAUUGCAGUACCUCCAGGAACGGUCCACCCCGU
ensembl:snRNA U2 U2 spliceosomal RNA